rnacentral:rRNA from 1 species
UGACACUGCGCCGAAAAUGUACCGGGGCUAAACAUAUUACCGAAGCUGUGGAUUGUCCUUUGGACAAUGGUAGGAGAGCGUUCUAAGGGCGUUGAAGCAUGAUCGUAAGGACAUGUGGAGCGCUUAGAAGUGAGAAUGCCGGUGUGAGUAGCGAAAGACGGGUGAGAAUCCCGUCCACCGAUUGACUAAGGUUUCCAGAGGAAGGCUCGUCCGCUCUGGGUUAGUCGGGUCCUAAGCUGAGGCCGACAGGCGUAGGCGAUGGAUAACAGGUUGAUAUUCCUGUACCACCUAUAAUCGUUUUAAUCGAUGGGGGGACGCAGUAGGAUAGGCGAAGCGUGCGAUUGGAUUGCACGUCUAAGCAGUAAGGCUGAGUAUUAGGCAAAUCCGGUACUCAUUAAGGCUGAGCUGUGAUGGGGAGAAGACAUUGUGUCUUCGAGUCGUUGAUUUCACACUGCCGAGAAAAGCCUCUAGAUAGAAAAUAGGUGCCCGUACCGCAAACCGACACAGGUAGUCAAGAUGAGAAUUCUAAGGUGAGCGAGCGAACUCUCGUUAAGGAACUCGGCAAAAUGACCCCGUAACUUCGGGAGAAGGGGUGCUCUUUAGGGUUAACGCCCAGAAGAGCCGCAGUGAAUAGGCCCAAGCGACUGUUUAUCAAAAACACAGGUCUCUGCUAAACCGUAAGGUGAUGUAUAGGGGCUGACGCCUGCCCGGUGCUGGAAGGUUAAGAGGAGUGGUUAGCUUCUGCGAAGCUACGAAUCGAAGCCCCAGUAAACGGCGGCCGUAACUAUAACGGUCCUAAGGUAGCGAAAUUCCUUGUCGGGUAAGUUCCGACCCGCACGAAAGGCGUAACGAUUUGGGCACUGUCUCAACGAGAGACUCGGUGAAAUCAUAGUACCUGUGAAGAUGCAGGUUACCCGCGACAGGACGGAAAGACCCCGUGGAGCUUUACUGUAGCCUGAUAUUGAAAUUCGGCACAG